UCGCAAGACCUCGCGCAAUUUGGAGGCCGGCCGAUCGCCCGAUUAGCUAGUUGGUGAGUAAAGGCUCACCAAGGCGACGAUCGGUAGCUGGUCUGAGAGGACGACCAGCCACACUGGGACUGAGACACGGCCCAGACUCCUACGGGAGGCAGCAGGUGGGGAAUUUUGGACAAUGGGGGCAACCCUGAUCCAGCCAUGCCGCGUGCAGGAUGAAGGCCUUCGGGUUGUAAACUGCUUUUGUCAGGGACGAAAAGGACCGUGUUAAUACCAUGGUCUGCUGACGGUACCUGAAGAAUAAGCACCGGCUAACUACGUG
rnacentral:rRNA from 1 species